rnacentral:tRNA from 1 species
AGGGGUGUAGCCAAGUCGGUAAGGCACGGGACUUUGACUCCCGCAUGCGUUGGUUCGAGUCCAGCCACCCCUGCCA